AACGAACGCUGGCGGCAGGCCUAACACAUGCAAGUCGAGCGGGGACUUCGGUCCUAGCGGCGGACGGGUGAGUAACGCGUGGGAACGUGCCCUUUGCUUCGGAAUAGCCCCUGGAAACGGGGAGUAAUACCGGAUGUGCUCGAGAGAGGAAAGAAUUUCGGCAAAGGAUCGGCCCGCGUUGGAUUAGGUAGUUGGUGGGGUAAUGGCCUACCAAGCCGACGAUCCAUAGCUGGUUUGAGAGGAUGAUCAGCCACACUGGGACUGAGACACGGCCCAGACUCCUACGGGAGGCAGCAGUGGGGAAGUAUUGGACAAUGGGCGAAAGCCUGAUCCAGCAAUGCCGCGUGAGUGAUGAAGGCCUUAGGGUUGUAAAGCUCUUUUACCCGGGAUGAUAAUGACAGUACCGGGA
rnacentral:rRNA from 1 species